rnacentral:rRNA from 1 species
GAUGAACGCUGGCGGCGUGCCUAAUACAUGCAAGUCGAGCGAACAGACGAGGAGCUUGCUCCUUUGACGUUAGCGGCGGACGGGUGAGUAACACGUGGAUAACCUACCUAUAAGACUGGGAUAACUUCGGGAAACCGGAGCUAAUACCGGAUAACAUGUUGAACCGCAUGGUUCAACAGUGAAGGACGGUCUUGCUGUCACUUAUAGAUGGAUCCGCGCCGCAUUAGCUAGUUGGUAAGGUAACGGCUUACCAAGGCAACGAUGCGUAGCCGACCUGAGAGGGUGAUCGGCCACACUGGAACUGAGACACGGUCCAGACUCCUACGGGAGGCAGCAGUAGGGAAUCUUCCGCAAUGGGCGAAAGCCUGACGGAGCAACGCCGCGUGAGUGAAGAAGGUCUUCGGAUCGUAAAACUCUGUUAUUAGGGAAGAACAAAUGUGUAAGUAAAUAUGCACGUCUUGACGGUACCUAAUCAGAAAGCCACGGCUAACUACGUG